rnacentral:misc_RNA from 1 species
GAUGAAGAACGCAGCGAAAUGCGACAAGUAAUGUGAAUUGCAGAAUUCAGUGAAUCAUCGAGUCUUUGAACGCACAUUGCGCCCAUUAGUAUUCUAGUGGGCAUGCCUGUUCGAGCGUCAUUUCAACCCUUAAGCCUAGCUUAGUAUUGGGAAUCGACUUUACUGUCGUUCCUCAAAUUCAACGGCGGAUUUAUAGCAAUCUCUGAACGUAGUAAUUUUUUUCCUCGUUUUUGAAAUACUAUAAACCUCAGCCGCUAAACCCCCAAUUUUUCUAUGGUUGACCUCGGAUCAGGUAGGAAUACCCGCUGAACUUAAGCAUAUCAAUAAGCGGAGGA